rnacentral:rRNA from 1 species
GAUGAACGCUGGCGGCGUGCCUAAUACAUGCAAGUCGAGCGAACGGACGAGAAGCUUGCUUCUCUGAUGUUAGCGGCGGACGGGUGAGUAACACGUGGAUAACAUACCUAUAAGACUGGGAUAAUUUCGGGAAACCGUAGCUAAUACCGGAUAAUAUUUUGAACCGCAGGGUUCAAAAGUGAAAGACGGCCUUGCUGUCACUUAUAGAUGGAUCCGCGCUGCAUUAGCUAGUUGGUAAGGUAACGGCUUACCAAGGCAACGAUGCAUAGCCGACCUGAGAGGAUGAUCGGCCACACUGGAACUGAGACACGGUCCAGACUCCUACGGGAGGCAGCAGUGGGGAAUAUUACGCAAUGGGCGAAAGCCUGACGGAGCAACGCCGCGUGGGUGAAGAAGGUCUUCGGAUCGUAAAACUCUGUUAUUAGGGAAGAACAUAUGUAUAAGAAACUGUACACAUCUUGACGGUACCUAAUCAGAAAGCCACGGCUAACUACGUG